GGAUAACUGUGGUAAUUCUAUAGCUAAUACAUGCUCACUCGUGGUCCUCCUGAAUCGUCUCCGGACGAGAAGACCGCUAUUGUUACACACAAAGCACUGAAUUUCAUUGGAAUUCAAGGAAAACAGAUGAAUCACAACAAAUUAGCCAAGCGUAUAGUCUUGCACUGACGCUGUACCUUUCGAGCGACUGCCUUAUCAGCUUUCGAUUGUAGGGUAUUGGCCUACAAUGGCGAUAACGGGUAACGGGGAAUCAGGGUUCGAUUCCGGAGAGGGAGCCUGAGAAACGGCUACCACAUCUAAGGAAGGCAGCAGGCACGCAAAUUACCCACUCUCGGCACGGGGAGGUAGUGACAAUAAAUAACGAUGCGUGUCUCUUUCUGAGGCCUCGCAAUCGGAAUGGAUUUAUACUUAAAUCACUGGAAGAGGAGCAAUUGGAGGGCAAGUCUGGUGCCAGCAGCCGCGGUAACUCCAGCUUCAGUAGCGUAAGUUAAUAUUGCUGCGGUUAAAAAGCUCGUAGUUGGACCUUGGGUGCGGACGGGCGAUUCACCCUUCUGUGGACUAGCGGUUGAGAGUUUACUCGAUGCCAAUAGACCUGUUGGCUGAUAUCAACGCCCGAUUCAUCCGUCACUGUGUGAAUGAUUUGUCGGUUUUCUCGGGUGUGGGGGCGCCUUAAUCGGGUGUUCUUGCUCACGUUACCGACAAUGUCACUUUGCAAAAAUAAGAGCGCUUAAAGCAGGCUUGAUGCCAUGAAUAUUCAUGCAUAGUACGAGAGAAAAGGACUUUGUCUCUGUUUGGUGCACAGAAAGACAAAGUAAUGAUUAAGAGAGACAGACGGGGACGUUCGUACUGCGGCGUUAGAGGUGAAAUUCUUGGAUCGCUGCAAGACGAACAAUCGCGAAGGCAUUCGUCCAGAACGCUUUUCUUAAUCAAGAACGAAAGUUAGAGGAUCGAAGGCGAUCAGAUACCGCCCUAGUUCUAACCGUAAACGAUGCUGACCGGCUAUUAGUCGGUGUUAUACCCAAACACCCGAUUAGCAACCCCCGGGAAACCAGAGUUUUUGUGUUCCGGGGGGAUGUAUGGUUGCAAGGCUGAAACUUAAAGGAAUUGACGGAAGGGCACCACCAGGAGUGGAGCCUGCGGCUUAAUUUGACUCAACACGGGGAAACUUACCAGGACAGGACAUCGGAAGGACUGACAGAUUUGAAGCUCUUUCUCGAUUCGAUGGGUAGUGGUGCAUGGCCGUUCUUAGUUGGUGGAGUGAUUUGUCUGGUUAAUUCCGAUAACGAACGAGAUUUUACCCUGCUAACUAGUCUGCCCAUUAUCUCGAGACUGCUUUCAGCCUUAACGGGUUGUUGUGCGUGUUUCGAAACUUCAUGGCUUGGUUAUGCUCAACGGAACCGAAGCUCGUAUGGGUGUGCUUGUGGGUCUCGUGCUCGCUUGUGUGCUUGUAUUGGGCCCGGACCUCCUGUUGGUGUAUCUCGCCUAAUGAGGUGUGGGCAUUUUGUCUUCUUAGAGGGAUCGGCAUCGUAUAGUUGCACGAGAUUGAGCAAUAACAGGUCUGUGAUGCCCUUAGAUGUCUUGGGCUGCACGCGCGCUACAAUGGAGAGAUCAACGCGUUUUCUACCUGCUCCGAGAGGAGUUGGGAACCCGCUGAAAUCUCUCCUCAAUUGGGAUUGCGGCUUGCAAUUGUUCCUCAUGAACGAGGAAUUCCUGGUAAGCGUGAAUCAUCAGUUCACGAUGAUUACGUCCCUGCCCUUUGUACACACCGCCCGUCGCUACUACCGAUUGAAUGAUUUAGUGAGGCCGUUGGACUGGCGCCCUAGAAUAGAGAUUCUGUCUCUUUCGUGGGUCGACGGGAAGAUGUCCAAACUGGAUCAUUUAGA
rnacentral:rRNA from 1 species